rnacentral:rRNA from 1 species
UACGUAGGGGGCAAGCGUUGUCCGGAAUCAUUGGGCGUAAAGCGCGUGUAGGCGGCUUGGUAGGUCCGCUGUGAAAACUCGAGGCUCAACCUCGAGAUGUCGGCGGAAACCACUUGGCUAGAGUCCGGAAGAGGAGAGUGGAAUUCCCGGUGUAGCGGUGAAAUGCGCAGAUAUCGGGAAGAACACCUAUGGCGAAGGCAGCUCUCUGGGACGGUACUGACGCUGAGACGCGAAAGCGUGGGGAGCGAACAGG